CGCGUGCGCAUUCUGCUUGCUCCCCCACCCACUCGCCGGCGGUAAUGUUUGUUUAAUGGGCCUUGGAACAUUUUUUUAAAUGCUGGCAGAAGGCAGAACGCGCGAAGAGAGCCCGUUGUCUGCUCGAUUCCCUUCCUGGAGGCGCCGUCGCUUUACUGCAAACGUGGGAGAGAUGGAGGGGGAGGGAGGGGUGGACAGAACUGAUCAAUAAUUGGAUGGGCUGCGUCCUGGAUGUGUUAAAACUUGUUGAGCUGAUUCGAACAGGAGCUGUCAUUACUCGCAAACGCAUUUUUGUUUUGUCACGCGGAGGGCGCAAGGAGCUUCAGAGCAUCUGCUCGGAUUGCUCAGUAACAGCGGGAAUCGCACAGUCUUCGGUCCACUUUUCAGAUGCAUCUGGGCAAGGCUCGGGAAGGUUUAGCGCUGUCAAGAGAUUCAAAAGCCUCGAUCGUGGACGCCGCGCCACCGUCUGCCCUCUGCAAUGUUUGCAAUCGCUUCCCGUGACUGGAAUGGUUAUUUCCCACGUGCUCCUGAACGGCUGGAACGGGAGGGAGCAUCCCUAUGUACAGUGUUCAAAAUGAUGUCCAUGAACAGCAAACAGCCAGCCUUCGGGAUGCAUCACACCCUACCUGAGCACAAGUACACUUCUCUGCACUCCAGCUCGGAAGCAAUAAGGAGAGCCUGUCUACCAGCGCCGCCGCAACUGCAGAGCAACCUCUUCGCCAGCUUAGAUGAGACCCUGCUCGCCCGCGCCGAGGCUCUGGCGGCCGUGGAUAUCGCCGUGUCCCAGGGCAAGAGCCACCCGUUCAAGCCGGAUGCCACCUACCACACCAUGAACACGGUGCCAUGCACGUCUACCUCGAGCGUCGCCCUGCCGCACCCGUCCGCCCUGUCCUCGCACCCCCACGCCCACCACCACCACCAUCCCCACCAGCCGCACCAACCGCUCGACCCGGGGGAGCUCAUCGACCACCUCAGCUCGUCCUCGCUGACCCUGGCCGGGGCCAUGGCAGUGGCCGGAGGAGGGGGAGGAGGAGGAGGAGGAGGGGGGGACGGGGGUGGUGGGGGAGGUGGUGGUGGUGGUGGUGGGGCUGGAGGAGGCGGCGGGGGGGUGGUGUCGACCUCCUCCCACCCCCACGCGGCUCACAUGCACGGCCUGGGCCCCCUGAGCCACCACCACCACCAUCACCACCACCACCCUCACCCCCACCAGGCGGCCAUGGGCAUGGCGCCGCACCCUCACGGCCUGGUGGGCCACGGCGUGGCGGGGUCCGGCCUGCCCUCGGUCAACGACGUGGACGCCGACCCGCGGGAGCUGGAGGCGUUCGCCGAGCGCUUCAAGCAGCGGCGGAUCAAGCUGGGGGUGACCCAGGCGGACGUGGGCGCGGCCCUGGCCAACCUGAAGAUCCCGGGCGUGGGCUCGCUCAGCCAGAGCACCAUCUGCCGCUUCGAGUCGCUGACCCUGUCGCACAACAACAUGAUCGCGCUGAAGCCCAUCCUGCAAGCGUGGCUGGAGGAGGCGGAGGGCGCGCACCGCGACAAGAUGAACAAGCCCGACAUCUUCAACGGCGGCGAGAAGAAGCGCAAGCGGACGUCCAUCGCCGCCCCGGAGAAGCGCUCCCUCGAGGCUUACUUCGCCGUCCAGCCUCGGCCCUCCUCCGAAAAGAUCGCGGCGAUCGCCGAGAAACUGGACCUGAAAAAGAACGUUGUGCGGGUUUGGUUUUGCAAUCAAAGACAGAAGCAGAAAAGAAUGAAAUUUUCCGCCAACCACUAGCUGCAAGAGAAAAGCGGGAUCGCCUCCCCCCCCCCCAACACCACCUUUCUUCCUCCACCCCCACCUCCACCUUUUAUUCCACCCUCUUCCCCUCACCUCGAACCCCCCGCCGGCAGACUCGAUAACAGACAAGUUAUUUUUUUCUCUCUCUCUUUGGGGGUGACCGAGGAUAGUUGUUCCUCCUCACUUGGCUCCCUCCCGGACUUGGUCACAGUACUUUUUUUGUGUGUGUGUGUGAAUCUCACUGUGUAAUGGAGCGAGCGGAGGUCUGCAGACGAGCUCCUGACGAGGUCCAAGCGAAGUCAUCGGUCUCUGAGGCAUCGUGGUGUUUGUGUUAUUUUUUUUCUUUCACAUUAUUGGUGAAGUAUGCAAGUCACAGGUAAUUCAGACCGCCCGGUUUCUGUGCUGAAAUUUCUAGAUUUUUUUAAGGGGAAACAAAACAACAAAACUGUAAACGUGCCAGACUGGCCUCUGUCUUGUUAACGGAAACAAAAUGCGAAGAAAAGUUGAUUGAUGUUCAGUCACUUCGGUAUAAUUUCACUCCAGUGUUCCAUUGAUGCUGCUGUGCUCCGUUUUCUCGUCCCUUUUUGUCAACAACAACAAAAAUCGUUACCUCGACAACUUUCUGUUAUUCACCAGCCCAUGGAGUCUGUUGCGUUAGGACAUUUCGAUUCUGACUUUUCAGAAGCCGAUUGCUUCAGUUACAAAAAAAAGCUCAGGCACGAUCGUCCAUUGAUUUGGUAUGAGUACUUACUACUGGAGAGGGAUAACGUUGUGGUUCCCCCCGCCACCCCCACCCCAUGUAACAUCCUUCCUUCAGUUUAUCUGAUAGAAGAAGCACAGUCGUGCUUGUGGAUAUUCUGACUUGAUUUGCCGUUUGGGACAGUAUUUAUGCAGAUCGUGGUAUAUAGCCUCAUUAUUAAUUAUUUUGAAUUCUUAAUAGAAAAAAAAGCAAAAUAUACAAAAAAAAUCACAAUUGACAUUUUACAGUGAUAAUCGUUUCCAAAGGUCUGCAUGCUGAUCAGAUCACGGUUUUGUUUUUUUGUCAAAUGUAACGGGCGUUAGCUGUCGGCACUCCGUUUUUUGGUAAUUGCACUAAAAGUAUGUUGCAGAGUUUAGUAUAUCGUACUGGAUGGAAAACAUGUUAGCGUAUUAAGGUUUACGAUCAAAAUUCAAGCGAUUCUCGCAUCUAAAGCUUGAUACAGGACUACCAAAAGUUUGCGCAUUAAAUACUCACACGAAAUUAUUGAUUCUGUUUUGGGUAGGAAUAUCUCCUUUAGCAGGCAUCUAAAAUAUGUGCGCAGGAGUAAAAUAACUGCAUGAGCUGAGGAUGGAAUACCGAAUUUGGCGCCUAUGAAUUUGAUACAAAAAUGUUAUGUCUGCAGCGCAAACAUUCUAUGCAUUUGGAACUGAAAUGAGCACUAUAGCGUAGCUUGAUAGACCUUGUGGAUAGUGUGAUUUCACUGUUAACUGCCUGUUUUCACUAGACACAACAUUAUGACCCUGUUUAUAACUGUAUAUAGGUGUUUAUUGUAAAUAACUUUUUAAUUUGCGCACAUGUUUACAAACUGCAACCACGUGUGCAUCAUACGUAAAAGGAAAAAAAGUUUCACUUUAAGUCGAGCCCUGUCCAAUGUAUAUUUGCCAAGCUUUCUCCUGAAUUGUGUUUUUUAAAAUUUAUUUACUUAUUUAUUUAAUUUAUUUCUGUAAGCCAAAUACAACAGGGAGAUAUGUCCUAGCACAUUUAUUAAUAAAAAGGGAAACAACUGUCUGUUUAAGAGUGCUUUUUUUUUGUUCUUAGUAAAACUGAGGUUUAAGCAGUUAGAUGAAAACCCCCCAGAAGGUUGCGAACGUCGCCGUUAUCAUGUGAAGGAAUCACGGAAAUACGGAAACUGCACAAAUGAAGCGGUUACUUUAUCUACUUUCCCCCCAUCCAGUAUGAAACUUCCUCGCCAAAAAAAAACAAUUCAGCGAGACAACCAAACAUCACGCCCGGCGCACAGAGCAAAUUGCGUUGAGGAAAAAAAGGGGUAUAGCUGCAGUCAUUGCCCAGAAAAAACCUCUAUUUAUUUCUAUUGCCUGCCAAGACAAAGACAUUUUAAUGGGUUCUUCUUGAAAAAGAACUACAAGAGGUCAGAAGCUGUUGUUCAAUCAAAAUGUUUGCAUCACAUUGACUCAUUCAUUAACAAUUUGUUACAUUAAUUUCAGAUUUGGGAGCAUUAUUUAAAUAUGCUAUAAAUUAUGUAUUAAGGAGUUUCAUUAGAAUGCAUAGAAAAUGGUUGGCAAAUAAACUACAAUCUUCAUUAAGACAGAUUCCUUCAAAACUGUAAAAUUACUGAAGAAAACUCUAGACCAGCAAACUUUCUAACAUUUAUCUUUUAUAUUUUUCAAGACUGUUGAACCUGCAUGUACAGUGUGACACUGAUGAAUAAUCAAUUCGCAUCUUGAUUUGCGAAGCACAAACUAAUGAAACAGAAGCAGUAGUCUAAACAGGACAUUGAUUCAUUUCCACUCUAUUCUGAAUGCUGUUCUGGACACUUUAAUAGAAGAACAAAAUCACAAUAGUUGACAUACAUCUUAUAACCAGUCCAAGAGACAGUAAAUGUAAAGUUUGUUACACUACAGAAAAUAAAAUGAAGAUGGUAAAGUUAUUAAAAUACUCAAGACUUUCAGGGGAAUCAGCUAUUUGAAUCUAUGAAGUUGUCAUAACUUAGAGACUGACCAACAGAAUACGUCGGAUGAAGUUCAGAAGAGGGAAGAGAUUGGAUACAGACCUUUCACGCUCAGAGUGGUAAAUAUGUAGAACAUCAGUCAUUUUAAUGGGCAUUGUAUAGACAUUUAAUGACAAAAUCAGUUACAGGACAUAGGCAAUGAUUUUUGAGUUCUGCAUUAUUGGCAUAAGUGACCAAAUGAGCUGAAAUAAUUACCUUUCUGCUCUUGUUCACAUUAUUAUGUUAUCAAAGUUGUUCAUGAACUGUUUGAAAGCAUUAAGAGUUUGUUAUUACUGCUACUGUGUAAAUGUAUUAACCGCCAUCUAUACACUCAUAGUACAAAGAAUAGAUUUUCCUUUAUUGUUGGAGCAUGCCAUCAUUUUACUCUUAGGAUUAUAUAUUGGCUUCAUUAUCACUCUAAAGAUCAUUCUACUGUGGACAAGUGUGGAAAAUCCACAGAGACAUCCUAUAGUAAAAUCAGUUUUGUAAAAUUUAUAAAUUCUUUUGAAAGUAAAAUGGUUGUUUUAAAAUUAUUAUAAAAGGACAUGUAGAUCAAGCAAGAAUAUGCAUUAGACCUGAUGUAUCAGGUGAAAAUAAAUAUUCUUAGAGACUUGGUGGAUCAUAUAACUUGUUUUUAUGCCAUAGUAUUCUAUUGCAUUGUACAAAUUAUUUGGAUUGAAUAAAAUUGAAUAAAGGACAUUAGGACAAUGCGAAUGGUAGUGA